AGUAACGCGUGGAUAACCUGCCUCACACUGGGGGAUAACAGUUAGAAAUGACUGCUAAUACCGCAUAAGCGCACAGUACCGCAUGGUACAGUGUGAAAAACUACCGGUGGUGUGAGAUGGAUCCGCGUCUGAUUAGCCAGUUGGCGGGGUAACGGCCCACCAAAGCGACGAUCAGUAGCCGACCUGAGAGGGUGACCGGCCACAUUGGGACUGAGACACGGCCCAA
rnacentral:rRNA from 1 species